UCUAAGACAAAAGGCUUAAAGAAGCUGAAUUCAGGGAGCUGUCACUCCAGGGUAACUCUACUUAAUUGCAAAGCAUGGUAUUUGCAAUCUCUAAUUCUCUGCUUUAUCAUAGUUUGCUCUUUUCAGGGUUGUAAUCAGGUUAGUUUUGAUCAAGUGACUUCUAUAGUAUAAGUCAUCUUGUCACCAACAAUGCAAGAAUGAUAAAUGUGUAGAAAAGGGACCUAGGAGAGAUGGCACCCAAUGAUAAGGUAUUGCCCAAUCAGUUUCUUUUGAAGCCUAGGGAAUUGUAAGUUCUGGCUAAGGAAAUUCAUAUCUGAGCUGAGUUGCUUGAGGCCCACAUCCACAGGAUGGUGUGAUCCUCCAGAGCAAAAAUAAACUCAGUACUUGAACUCCGAUUUACUUGGGAAGUCACUCUUAGCAAUAACUGAGGAAAACUUAUACUAUAACUAGUGUAACAGUGGAUGAACUUGCAAAGCAGCAGUUAAUGACAGGUCAGUGGUUGCUAAGUCCACGCAGAGUGUUCUCUAAAAACAAGAUGCCUUGUCAUAGACUGAACCUGUUACUUCUCCAAAUGCAUUCAGAGAAGUGGAGGAUGCCUACAAUACUCCUCAUCAUCUCCUUAAGUACAGGAACAGCCUGAAAUCAAACCACCAAGUGAAUUACAGAAACCAAGGUCUAUCACCUUGGAGAGUUGUCACCCUUUCAAAAACCCUG